UACGUAGGGCGCAAGCGUUAUCCGGAAUUAUUGGGCGUAAAGAGCUCGUAGGCGGUUUGUCGCGUCUGCUGUGAAAGACCGGGGCUCAACUCCGGUUCUGCAGUGGGUACGGGCAGACUAGAGUGCAGUAGGGGAGACUGGAAUUCCUGGUGUAGCGGUGAAAUGCGCAGAUAUCAGGAGGAACACCGAUGGCGAAGGCGGGUCUCUGGGCCGUAACUGACGCUGAGGAGCGAAAGCAUGGGGAGCGAACAGG
rnacentral:rRNA from 1 species